rnacentral:rRNA from 1 species
UACGGGGGGGGCAAGCGUUGUUCGGAAUUACUGGGCGUAAAGGGCUCGUAGGUGGCCAACUAAGUCAGACGUGAAAUCCCUCGGCUUAACCGGGGAACUGCGUCUGAUACUGGAUGGCUUGAGUUCGGGAGAGGGAUGCGGAAUUCCUGGUGGUAGCGGUGAAAUGCGCAGAUAUCAGGAGGAACACCGGUGGCGAAGGCGGAUCUCUGGGCCAGUUGACUGACGCUGGAGGAGCGAAAGCGUGGGGAGCGAACAGGA